GACGAACGCUGGCGGCGUGCUUAACACAUGCAAGUCGAACGGAAAGGCCCUGCUUUUGUGGGGUGCUCGAGUGGCGAACGGGUGAGUAACACGUGAGUAACCUGCCCUUGACUUUGGGAUAACUUCAGGAAACUGGGGCUAAUACCGGAUAGGAGCUCCUGCUGCAUGGUGGGGGUUGGAAAGUUUCGGCGGUUGGGGAUGGACUCGCGGCUUAUCAGCUUGUUGGUGGGGUAGUGGCUUACCAAGGCUUUGACGGGUAGCCGGCCUGAGAGGGUGACCGGCCACAUUGGGACUGAGAUACGGCCCAGACUCCUACGGGAGGCAGCAGUGGGGAAUAUUGCACAAUGGGCGGAAGCCUGAUGCAGCAACGCCGCGUGCGGGAUGACGGCCUUCGGGUUGUAAACCGCUUUCGCCUGUGACGAAGCGUGAGUGACGGUAAUGGGUAAAGAAGCACCGGCUAACUACGUGCCAGCAGCCGCGGUGAUACGUAGGGUGCGAGCGUUGUCCGGAUUUAUUGGGCGUAAAGGGCUCGUAGGUGGUUGAUCGCGUCGGAAGUGUAAUCUUGGGGCUUAACCCUGAGCGUGCUUUCGAUACGGGUUGACUUGAGGAAGGUAGGGGAGAAUGGAAUUCCUGGUGGAGCGGUGGAAUGCGCAGAUAUCAGGAGGAACACCAGUGGCGAAGGCGGUUCUCUGGGCCUUUCCUGACGCUGAGGAGCGAAAGCGUGGGGAGCGAACAGGCUUAGAUACCCUGGUAGUCCACGCUGUAAACGGUGGGUACUAGGUGUGGGGUCCAUUCCACGGGUUCCGUGCCGUAGCUAACGCUUUAAGUACCCCGCCUGGGGAGUACGGCCGCAAGGCUAAAACUCAAAGGAAUUGACGGGGCCCCGCACAAGCGGCGGAGCAUGCGGAUUAAUUCGAUGCAACGCGUAGAACCUUACCUGGGUUUGACAUGGAUCGGGAGUGCUCAGAGAUGGGUGUGCCUCUUUUGGGGUCGGUUCACAGGUGGUGCAUGGCUGUCGUCAGCUCGUGUCGUGAGAUGUUGGGUUAAGUCCCGCAACGAGCGCAACCCUUGUUCACUGUUGCCAGCACGUUAUGGUGGGGACUCAGUGGAGACCGCCGGGGUCAACUCGGAGGAAGGUGGGGAUGACGUCAAGUCAUCAUGCCCCUUAUGUCCAGGGCCUCACGCAUGCUACAAUGGCUGGUACAGAGAGUGGCGAGCCUGUGAGGGUGAGCGAAUCUCGGAAAGCCGGUCUCAGUUCGGAUUGGGGUCUGCAACCCGACCUCAUGAAGUCGGAGUCGCUAGUAAUCGCAGAUCAGCAACGCUGCGGUGAAUACGUUCCCGGGGCU
rnacentral:rRNA from 1 species